ACAAGCGUUGUCCGGAUUUACUGGGCGUAAAGAGCGCGCAGGCGGUCGUACAAGUCGCGUGUGAAAGCCCCCGGCUCAACUGGGGAGGGUCACGCGAUACUGUUCGACUCGAAGGCAGGAGAGGGUAGUGGAAUUCCCGGUGUAGUGGUGAAAUGCGUAGAUAUCGGGAGGAACACCAGUGGCGAAGGCGACUACCUGGCCUGUUCUUGACGCUGAGGCGCGAAAGCUAGGGUAGCAAACGGG
rnacentral:rRNA from 1 species